rnacentral:rRNA from 1 species
AGUGAACGCUGGCGGUAGGCCUAACACGUGCAAGUCGAACGGCAGCACAGUAAGAGCUUGCUCUUACGGGUGGCGAGUGCGGACGGGUGAGGAAUACAUCGGAAUCUACUUUUUCGUGGGGGAUAACGUAGGGAAACUUACGCUAAUACCGCAUACGACCUACGGGUGAAAGCAGGGGAUCUUCGGACCUUGCGCGAUUGAAUGAGCCGAUGUCGGAUUAGCUAGUUGGCGGGGUAAAGGCCCACCAAGGCGACGAUCCGUAGCUGGUCUGAGAGGAUGAUCAGCCACACUGGAACUGAGACACGGUCCAGACUCCUACGGGAGGCAGCAGUGGGGAAUAUUGGACAAUGGGCGCAAGCCUGAUCCAGCCAUACCGCGUGGGUGAAGAAGGCCUUCGGGUUGUAAAGCCCUUUUGUUGGGAAAGAAAAGCAGCAGGUUAAUACCCCGCUGUUCUGACGGUACCCAAAGAAUAAGCACCGGCUAACUUCGUG